AACGAACGCUGGCGGCAGGCUUAACACAUGCAAGUCGAACGCCCCGCCAGGGGAGUGGCAGACGGGUGAGUAACGCGUGGGAACAUACCCUUUCCUGCGGAAUAGCUCCGGGAAACUGGAAUUAAUACCGCAUACGCCCUACGGGGGAAAGAUUUAUCGGGGAAGGAUUGGCCCGCGUUGGAUUAGCUAGUUGGUGGGGUAAAGGCCUACCAAGGCGACGAUCCAUAGCUGGUCUGAGAGGAUGAUCAGCCACAUUGGGACUGAGACACGGCCCAAACUCCUACGGGAGGCAGCAGUGGGGAAUAUUGGACAAUGGGCGCAAGCCUGAUCCAGCCAUGCCGCGUGAGUGAUGAAGGCCUUAGGGCUGUAAAGCUCUUUCACCGAUGAAGAUAAUGACGGUAGUCGGAGAAGAAGCCCCGGCUAACUUCGUG
rnacentral:rRNA from 1 species